rnacentral:rRNA from 1 species
CCUACGGGAGGCAGCAGUGGGGGAUAUUGCACAAUGGGGGAAACCCUGAUGCAGCGACGCCGCGUGUAGGAAGACGGUCCUCUGGAUUGUAAACUACUGUCCCCAGGGACGAAGAUGACGGUACCUGGGGAGGAAGCUCCGGCUAACAACGUGCCAGCCGCCGCGGUAAUACGUAGGGCGCGAGAGUUGUCCGGAAUUACGGGGGGAAAGGGGAGCGUAGGCGGGGAUGCAAGUUGGGUGUUAAAUCUACCGGCUCAACUGGUAGUCGCACUCAAAACUGCAGCUCUUGAGUGAAGUAGAGGCAGGUGGAAUUCCUAGUGUAGCGGUGAAAUGCGUAGAUAUUAGGAGGAACACCAGUGGCGAAGGCGGCCUGCUGGGCUUUUACUGACGCUGAGGCUCGAAAGUGUGGGGAGCAAACAGGAUUAGAUACCCCAGUAGUC